rnacentral:rRNA from 1 species
GAUGAACGCUGGCGGCGUGCCUAAUACAUGCAAGUCGAGCGAACAGACGAGGAGCUUGCUCCUCUGACGUUAGCGGCGGACGGGUGAGUAACACGUGGAUAACCUACCUAUAAGACUGGGAUAACUUCGGGAAACCGGAGCUAAUACCGGAUAAUAUAUUGAACCGCAUGGUUCAAUAGUGAAAGACGGCUUUGCUGUCACUUAUAGAUGGAUCCGCGCCGCAUUAGCUAGUUGGUAAGGUAACGGCUUACCAAGGCAACGAGGCGUAGCCGACCUGAGAGGGUGAUCGGCCACACGGGAACUGGGACACGGUCCAGACUCCUACGGGAGGCAGCAGUAGGGAAUCUUCGGCAAUGGGCGAAAGCCUGACGCAGCAGCGCCGCGUGAGUGAUGAAGGUCUUCGGAUCGUAAAGCUCUGUUAUUAGGGAAGAACAACUGUGUAAGUAGCUAUGCACGUCUUGACGGUACCUAAUCAGAAAGCCCCGGCUAACUACGUG